GACGAACGCUGGCGGCGUGCUUAACACAUGCAAGUCGAACGGAAAGGCCCUGCUUUUGUGGGUUGCACGAGUGGCGAACGAGUGAGUAACACGUGAGUAACCUGCCCUUGACUUUGGGAUAACUUCAGGAAACUGGGGCUAAUACCGGAUAGGAGCUCCUGCUGCAUGUUGGGGGUUGGAAAGUUUCGGCGGUUGGGGAUGGACUCGCGGCUUAUCAGCUUGUUUGUGGGGUAGUGGCUUACCAAGGCUUUGACGGGUAGCCGGCCUGAGAGGGUGACCGGCCACAUGGGGACUGAGAUACGGCCCAGACUCCUACGGGAGGCAGCAGUGGGGAAUAUUGCAGAAUGGGCGGAAGCCUGAUGCAGCAACGCCGCGUGCGGGAUGACGGCCUUCGGGUUGUAAACCGCUUUCGCCUGUGACGAAGAGUGAGUGACGGUAAUGGGUAAAGAAGCAACGGCUAACUACGUG
rnacentral:rRNA from 1 species